AGAGUUUGAUCCUGGCUCAGAUUGAACGCUGGCGGCAUGCUUUACACAUGCAAGUCGAACGGCAGCACGGAGAGCUUGCUCUCUGGUGGCGAGUGGCGAACGGGUGAGUAAUACAUCGGAACGUGCCCUGUAGUGGGGGAUAACUACUCGAAAGAGUGGCUAAUACCGCAUACAACCUGAGGGUAAAAGUGGGGGACCGCAAGGCCUCACGCUAUAGGAGCGGCCGAUGGAAGAUUAGGUAGUUGGUAGGGUAAAGGCCUACCAAGCCGACGAUCUUUAGCGGGUCUGAGAGGACGAUCCGCCACACUGGGACUGAGACACGGCCCAGACUCCUACGGGAGGCAGCAGUGGGGAAUUUUGGACAAUGGGGGCAACCCUGAUCCAGCCAUUCCGCGUGAGUGAAGAAGGCCUUCGGGUUGUAAAGCUCUUUCAGCAGGAACGAAACGGCGAGCUCUAACAUAGCUCGUUAAUGACGGUACCUGAAGAAGAAGCACCGGCUAACUACGUGCCAGCAGCCGCGGUAAUA
rnacentral:rRNA from 1 species